UAGGUAUUGGUGUUUCAAGGUGGAGUAGGUUGGAAUCUCUAACCAUAAAAGGGAGAUGAACUUUGUAAUUGGUGUUUCAAAAAUAGGGAAUACUUUUCUUUAUCUUUUAUGCAGUGGGAACCAUGUCAUGCAGUUGUUGCCACACCUUUGCUUAUUGCAUUUGAACUGCUUCUUUGCAACUAUCUUGAAAAUAGCCAUGUUACUAAGCCUCCACCUUUAAGCCUGCAGAUUGUCUUCCUUCCUCUGUUGGCGUUUGAAGUAACCAUUCUAACAGAUUUUUUCCAUCUUUCCUUCACUACAGGUGUACCAUGAGUCAGACAAGAGGAGAACCAAUCAAUAGUAGUCCUGCAUUUGAGAAUAUAAGUGCAGGUGCUUCACUUGCUGUUGUUGUGGAUGCUGUCAGAAAAGGUGCAGCUGCGUAAGGCAUGACAAUUACAGACUAUGUUUGGCGUGGACAUGAUCCCACAUCUUAGUAAGACUGGACUUGCACUUGACCUUUUUAAAGCUAAAUUCGAGGUUGUUAUGGAUGAAGCAAGAUCUGAACAAGCUGCAUCCAUGACUGAAUUUCAUUGGCUAGGGCAUAAAUUUCCAAUAUCAAAUGCCAAAACUCACGUUUCCAUUUUGAAAGCUAUAGGUGCUGUAUUAGGGCAACGUACCGUUGAACGCAACCAACUGUUUGUUAGUAUUGCAAAGAGUAAAAGAUAAAUUAGAUUACACAUGUCAAAGAGUCUCAAUAUUGAUAACUGUUAUGUAUGGUCUAUCAACACUUUACCAUCCAUUUUUUUAAAUUUAUAAAUAUGUAAUGUAUUAAAUAUGAUUAUAAAGCUAUACUGUUA